rnacentral:lncRNA from 1 species
UGAGAUAUAAGACACUUCAUUUAAUUAUAUGAAAUGCUUUUGUUUUGUUUUCCUGUGUGCUUGUAUGUUUUGUCAAAUGUUCUAUUUUUUUUAACAUUCGCUCAGUCGUUUUGUACUACAAUUCUAAGCGAAAAAAUUGUAUAAGUUUUGAUUGAUACACAAUAAAGAUAUGAAGGGGAAAAAUUAGUAAAAUACAAGUACGUUAACCCCCAGUAAAUAGAAAUACUUGUAAAAUAAAAACUAAAAACAGUGCUACAUGCUGGACAAGAAAGGUUCCUGUACUUUCAUAAAGUACCACCUUCCUCCUGAGCAGGGACGUUGUGGGGGUGAAAUGAGUCCCCCCCCGGAACUUUAAUUGAGAUCCUGUUCCCUGUGGUGGAAACGCAUGGAGUCAAAGGUUCCUAGUUCCUGUGGAAAGUUGUAGUCAUCACUCCGGCCAAGCAUUUAAGCCCCUUCUCUAUUGUUGAUGAAACAACCCCCCAAGUAGCUUUGGGGGCGUGUCGUUCAAUCAGCUGAUCUUGUGACGCACCUGCACUUGGCGCGGGAGAGGAGCGUCAGAGCGAGCGCGCCAAUUACCUGUUGUUGUUGUUGUGGUGGUGGUGGUUAGCAUCUGGAGGAAGCUAGAGAUCCACGUCACUAUGACGAGACGCGAAGUCCGAGGAUACAAGAAGCUUUUUGAAAAGAGAGAGGGUGAAGAGUCGACAAGUGGCGCAGCUGGAGCUAAAGGAGGAGGAGGAGGAGGAAGAAGAGGAAGAGGAGGAGAAGGAGGAAGAGGAGGAGGAAGAGGAAGAGAAGGAGGAGGAAGAGGAGAAGGAGGAAGAG